UUUUGUUUUAAAUUUAAAUCACGGCAUUAGUUAAACAUGAUUAUUAUCAUCUAAAUCUGAUAUGUGGCAGUGAUGGAGACACGUUAAAAAAAAAACAUUUUAGUGAACUCUUCUAUUAAUAGCCUUAUCAAUUACACAUUUAAAUCUUCAAGUGUGCACAUUGUUUUGCAAGCAUUAAUAUGUUGAAAAUGAAAUCCACAACUAAAAAAUAACGGUGAAAUACUGUAAGAUGUUUUUAAUUGAAUUUACAUUAAAUGUAAUUAGUAAAUCGUUAAAAUGGAUACACCAUUGGUCUUAACCAUUUUUACCAUCGACUAGUAAUGGUUCUGGAAAAGUCAGUAGGUAUACAACAUAAUUUAUUAUUAUUAAUAGCAUUAUUUAUAAUACUUUGAUAUUUUGCGAUUGUCCGUUUUUUACUACAGUACCUAUUUAAUUAAAUAAAUUUUAAAACUCGGACAGAAUUAAUCGUAUGUGAUCAUUGCAGUGUAUUGGAGCAUUUCCAGAAGCAUUUAUAUACCUACUCGAGAAAAUUAACGAAAAUUGUAAAAACUCAAUACACGCAGGUAUGUAGUCAAUUAACUAUUGCGGACAGGUGCUGUGUACUCUGUAUGUUGGCAUUGACUUGGGAAAAAAACAGCUUUCGUGUUUUUACGCAUCUCUAUUAAACUUUCGCGCUCAGAAUUUGAAUCGUAACAUAUUAUAAUAUCACGGUAUUGCGCUACGGUUCGAACGAAUAAUCCUAUCGACGAUCGUUUCUGAUAACGACGACGUUAUGUCGUGUUUAGUUCUACGUAAUAAUUACUGUUCCUCGCGAGAAGUACCAUCAUAAUUAUUAUUGCUCAUCGUUAUUACGAGGUAACAGUAUUGAGUAUUGACAGUUGUAUUGUACGUAUCAUACUAUCAUGUAGUCCGUUGCCGUACUCCACAUAAACGGACUUGUCGCGGAUAAAAACCACUCAUACGAAACGAUUGUGGGCUCUGCGGCGGACAAUAUUUAUUCAUCGACGCACGGUGAGUGGGUGAAUUUAGUUUAUUCGACAUUUCUACGAAAAACAAUUCUCAAUCGAAGAUUCAGUUUUUAUUCGACGUCUUGUUCGCCGCGUCGUUUGUAGGACGGCAGAUUAUGUCUUUGGAGUAUGAUCGCUUAGCGGACAUGAAGAGAUACGCGGUGAAGAUUUUCGAAGAAUGCGUAAAAUCGGUGUCGCCCAGAACGAUCGUCAAAAACACGGUGAGAUUCGAUUCGAAAAAGCUUUACGUCGACGACGGCAGUAGCUCUUCGACGUACACCGUGCCCGGCGACGUUUACGCGAUCGGUUUUGGAAAAGCGGUGCUGGACAUGGCUCUGGAAUUGGAGAACGUACUCGGCGACCGUCUCAAGGAGGUCGCGGUGAGCGUUCCGUUCGGAACCCGCCGACUGCCCUCCUCGCUGGACAAAAAAUCCAGGGUAUGCGUCAUGGAGGCGGCCAGGAACAAUGUGCCCGAUCGGCAGUCCGUGGAGAACACCGAUCGCAUCGCGGGCACGGUGUCUCGUCUGAGCGUUGGCGAUUUGCUCGUCGUACUCAUAUCCGGCGGCGGUUCGGCGCUGUUGUGUUCGCCGACCGUGCCGUUGGGCGACAAGAUCCUCGCCACCAAACUGUUGUCGUCGGCCGGCGCGUCCAUCGAACAGUUGAACGUCGUGAGGAAAGCGCUUUCCCGGGUCAAGGGCGGUAGACUGAUCGGGUUGGUCCGGGAGGAGUGCACCGUGGUCUCGUUGAUCCUGUCCGACGUUGUGGGCGACCCGCUGACUGCCAUCGCCAGCGGACCGACUGUACCCAACGACGAUCCCGACCGGUUGCCCGUCGAAAUCGUCGACGGUUUCGGUCUGCGGAACGCCAUGCCCGAGACCGUCGUUGACGCGCUGCUGCGAAACGUUUCGUUCACCGGCUCGGCGGCGAGGUUCGACAGAGUCCACAAUCACGUGAUCGGCAACAACGCGAUCGCGCUUCGGGCGGGCGUCCAAUACGCCGGCCGGCACUUCGAGGCCGUACUGCUGACGACUUCACUCCGCGGCGAUGUGGCUCUGGUGUCGGCGUUUUAUUCGGAUCUUGUGGCGUACGUAUGCGACCUGUACGCGGGCGGCGGCGCGACGGACGUGAAUCGAAAAGACCAGCUGAAGACGGCGUCUUCUUCGGUAGUCGGCGGCGGGGGCGUUGACGUCGAGCACCUGACGAAGUGCGUUGUCGAAGCGUCGACGAAAGGCCACGGCCUGUGUCUACUGAGCGGUGGCGAGCCCACGGUCGUGGUUCGAGGCAGCGGUCUAGGCGGCAGGAACCAAGAGCUGGCGUUGAGGGUGGCUUUGGACUUGACGAGACUUCAGGACGACCUUUUGUGCCGGUUCGACGUGUUGUUUUUUAGCGGCGGUACGGACGGCAUGGACGGUCCGACCGACGCGUGCGGAGCGUUCGGUUACCCGGCACUGGUGGACGUGGCGCUGUCCCGAGGCCUGGACGCUUCGCGGUUUGUCGACAACAACGACAGCUAUGGAUUUUACUCGUCACUCGACCUCGGUCGCGAUGUUGGCGAUCUGCUAAAAAUCGGACACACUGGCACGAACGUGAUGGACGUACACGUUUUGAUCAUCAAACCGAAAUAAAAUCGUAUUCCAUCGUGUGAUAAGUCGUGUUUACAGCUGUAGGUAGAUUUUGUUGUUUAUGUCGACACAUGAUUAUUUAUAAAAAUUAUAUUUUAAAGUUUGAUAGUGAUUUACCGACGAUAAAAUGUAAUAAUAAAACAAUGCUGAUUAUUUUUAAUACACUAUCGUUAACACCUUAGUUCACGUACCUAAUAAGUAAUAUUCUAUUCAUUAUUUUACAUUGCUGUGUAAGUGGUAAAAUAUGUGCAUAACGUGAUACGAUGCCUAAUCUAAGAACUAUGAACGGCACGAAUUGAGAUAAAUUUAAACCUUGACUAACCUACGUAAAAUAAACGAAAUUCAUUUAUGCCUUGGUUAACAGUUAACACAUGACGAAAAUGAUAACUCUUGUCAGAU